rnacentral:rRNA from 1 species
AUACGUAGGUGACAAGCGUUAUCCGGAUUUAUUGGGUUUAAAGGGUGCGCAGGCGGGAGAUUAAGUCGGCGGUGAAAUUUUGCAGCUCAACUGUAAAAGUGCCUUCGAAACUGGUUUCCUUGAGUGUAGAUGAAGUAGGCGGAAUUUGUGGUGUAGCGGUGAAAUGCAUAGAUAUCACAAGGAACUCCGAUUGCGCAGGCAGCUUACUAAACUACUACUGACGCUCAGGCACGAAGGCGUGGGGAUCAAACAGGAUUAGAUACCCUUGUAGUCCACGCAGUAAACGAUGAUUACUAGCUGUUUGCGAUACAAUGUAAGCGGCUGAGCGAAAGCGUUAAGUAAUCCACCUGGGGAGUACGUUCGCAAGAAUGAAACUCAAAUGAAUUGACGGGG